rnacentral:rRNA from 1 species
AUUGAACGCUGGCGGCAGGCCUAAUACAUGCAAGUCGAACGAGUGGCGGACGGGUGAGUAAUGUCUAGGAAACUGCCCGUUGGCGGGGGAUAACUACUGGAAACGGUAGCUAAUACCGCAUACCAUCGGAUGUGCCCAGUGGGGAUUAGCUAGUAGGUGGGGUAACGGCCUACCUAGGCGACGAUCCCUAGCUGGUCUGAGAGGAUGACCAGCCACACUGGAACUGAGACACGGUCCAGACUCCUACGGGAGGCAGCAGUGGGGAAUAUUGCACAAUGGGCGAAAGCCUGAUGCAGCCAUGCCGCGUGUAUGAAGAAGGCCUUCGGAUUGUAAAGUACUGUCAGCGAGGAGGCGUUACUCGACGAAGAAGCACCGGCUAACUCCGUGCCAGCAGCCGCGGUAAUUC